UGGGGAAUUUUGGACAAUGGGCGAAAGCCUGAUCCAGCAAUGCCGCGUGUGAAGAAGGCCUUCGGGUUGUAAAGCACUUUUGUCCGGAAAGAAAUGGCUCUGGUUAAUACCUGGGGUCGAUGACGGUACCGGAAGAAUAAGGACCGGCUAACUACGUGCCAGCAGCCGCGGUAAUACGUAGGGUCCAAGCGUUAAUCGGAAUUACUGGGCGUAAAGCGUGCGCAGGCGGUUGUGCAAGACCGAUGUGAAAUCCCCGAGCUUAACUUGGGAAUUGCAUUGGUGACUGCACGGCUAGAGUGUGUCAGAGGGGGGUAGAAUUCCACGUGUAGCAGUGAAAUGCGUAGAGAUGUGGAGGAAUACCGAUGGCGAAGGCAGCCCCCUGGGAUAACACUGACGCUCAUGCACGAAAGCGUGGGGAGCAAAACAGGAUUAGAUACCCUGGUAGUCCACGCCCUAAACGAUGUCAACUAGUUGUUGGGGAUUCAUUUCCUUAGUAACGUAGCUAACGCGUGAAGUU
rnacentral:rRNA from 1 species